rnacentral:lncRNA from 7 species
GGAAAUUACUCAUCAGAAUCAGCUGGGGGCCAUUUGUAAGCGAGUCAGGUUCAGACUUUGCCUCAGCGUAUGGGGGUACUGUUGGCUUUUGGUGUUCCUGCCUGCUCUGUUCAAGUGCUGUGGGAGUGCACCUACUGACCUACAGAUGUUGUGGGACUGUGUUUUCUGCUCAUCCUCAAGUUCAUCCAAAUGGUACAACAGUUUAGUUGUGUUCAUAAUGAUGAACACAUUCUGCAUUACAACCAAAGAUAUGUCUCAUGCUGUGCUAUAAGGUGAUGUUUAGCAUUUAUUGUAGAUGGCUGUAGCUUUAGGAAGUGCAGAUAGCUGGUUCUUAAGCCAACAUAGCUACUGACAGAGGGGGGAAAAAAGGCAGAACUUCAUUGACUUCAUACAAUCUAGAUGUCUAGAGGAUAUAUGUUAAAGCUCUUUUGCUAAUUAGAGUAUUUGAAUAUUGUUUGAUCACUGAUACUGACAACUUAGACCCUAAAAUAUGUGGGGUUUCAUGGCAUUGUCUUUUGGAGUUCUUCAGGCUGUGUGGUGCCUUCUCUUUCUGUUGUUAGAGAUAACAAGAAGCUUGAUGUCACCAAGGGAAUGAAUGGAAAGGUGUUAUGGUAAAAUGGAGGAGAAAUAUUGAACCGGCUUCGUGUGGCAAAGAAAAUAGGAGGAGGAGGACAGCAGAUGUGAGCAUCUCUGAACCAGGAAGUUCUCAAGGCGCAUUUCCAUCUUGAAGAUGUGCCAGGACACAUAAGAGCACACGACACAACAAGAAAACUUAUUGGAGAGGCAAGAUUGCUUGUUUUUAAUCCCGUGAUAAAACAAAGGUUGCCGUUGCAUUUUGCAUCUGCAGAUCUAGUCCCCAGUACCUUCGUUAGCCCCAGUUUCGAGGUCUGAGUUGCGACGCUUUGUAUUUUCGAUCGGACGCCAAUUUAUUUUUGACCCGUUCUUACUCAUUAUAGCCGAUAGAUGGCAGCAAACGACCACAGAUCUUCCGUUCCUAUCGUAGCCUGCUCCUCCUCGAUAGCUUUCUGUGGAAUUUUCCUAUUUGAAACCGAAACGGUGCUGAUUCCGCAGUAGCAGAACGCAGUACGAGGCAGCAGACCCGAUUUAACAUGUUAGAGCGUUAAGGCCAGUGAUGGAACUGUCUGUUGCGUUCCUGUUUCCAGCGAUGCCGGUGUGACCCGUUGUUCUGUGCCGAGCUGCACGCUUGUUUCUGCAGCUACCUGAGACAUCUUGGAAAAGCACUUUCUUGAGCGCUGAUCUACUUGCAAUUUCCCUGUAGUCUUUACACCAAAACACGUAAACAACUCAGGUUGUGGUGCUCUACUCUGGGGGAGUGGGGGGGGGGAGGGGUGCUGCCUAUAGCGGGAGAGCCAUGAGAACAACGAUUUGAUUUCUAUGGCAGUCACUCAACCACCUCUCGGCAAGAGGUCGCCAAGUUUCCCUCAGCUCGCACACAUCAGAUGCGUGCCGCGUCUCAGCGGUCGGUGUAGACCCCACUGUGAAAGCCACACGGGGCACCGCCCGCGC